CCCUUCAAGAUGAGACAUCCCCGAGGCCUUGAGCCUCCUGAAGGGCCCAGCGAGACCAGCUGGUUGAUAGGCCGGGUGUGGAAGCGCUGCAAGGCGUUGAGCUAACCGGUACUAAUGGCCCGUGAGGCUUGACCAU
rnacentral:rRNA from 1 species